rnacentral:rRNA from 1 species
AUUGAACGCUGGCGGCAUGCUUUACACAUGCAAGUCGAACGGUAACAGGCCGCAAGGUGCUGACGAGUGGCGAACGGGUGAGUAAUGCAUCGGAACGUGCCCAGUCGUGGGGAUAACGCAGCGAAAGCUGCGCUAAUACCGCAUACGAUCUAUGGAUGAAAGCGGGGGACCGUAAGGCCUCGCGCGAUUGGAGCGGCCGAUGUCAGAUUAGGUAGUUGGGGGGGUAAAGGCUCACCAAGCCAACGAUCUGUAGCUGGUCUGAGAGGACGACCAGCCACACUGGGACUGAGACACGGCCCAGACUCCUACGGGAGGAAGCAGUGGGGAAUUUUGGACAAUGGGCGCAAGCCUGAUCCAGCAAUGCCGCGUGCAGGAAGAAGGCCUUCGGGUUGUAAACUGCUUUUGUACGGAGCGAAAAGCCCUGGGUUAAUACCCUGGGGUCAUGACGGUACCGUAAGAAUAAGCACCGGCUAACUACGUGCCAGCAGCCGCGGUAAAAC